AUGUUAGCCACUCGUGUGUACGUCGACAUGCUGCACAACGGCGUCGAGCCCGACGGCUACACGUUCCCGUUCGUUGUCAAGGCGUGCGCGCAGCUCGCGGCAUUGCGGCAACGGAGGCAGCUGCAGGGACACGCCGUGAAGCUCGGGUUCCUCGAGCACGACGAGCACGCGCAGAACAGCCUCAUCAGCUUCUACGGCAAGUGCGGCGAGCCGGAGCUGGCGCGCUGCUCGCGGCGUUUGAGCAGAUGGAGGCCCGGGAGAGGACGGGCGGCGUCCUGGAGCGCGCUGCUCGCGGCGUACACGAAGGCCGGGCGAUGGGCGGAUUGUCUCAACUCGUUCGGCGCGAUGGUGUGGAAUGGGUGGAGGCCCGACGAGAGCUCAAUGGUGAGCGCGCUCUCAGCAUGCGCGUACCUGGGCACCUACGACGUCGGCCGGAGCGUCCACUGCUCGCUGCUGAGGAAUACCGUGACGCUGAAUACGUUCAUGGAGACGUCCCUAGUGGACAUGUACCCCAAGUGCGGCUGCAUCGAGAAGGCGACGGUGGUGUUCGACGGCAUGGAGGGCAAGAAGAACGAGUGGACGUACAUCGCCAUGGUGUCCCGCUUGGCGUUGCACGGGGACGGGCGUACGGCGCUGCAGGUGUUCGACGCGAUGAUCAGGGAGGGACACCAACCUGACGACGCCCUUGGCGUGCACGACACAGCCACGACGAGCUUCCACGCCCCGAUCUGGUCCGGCGCCCAAAUCACCGGCAUCCGUGAACGACGACGGCUGCUCAUCCUGACGCGCCAGCGCGAGGCCGCCAGGGGUGGCGCGGUG
rnacentral:rRNA from 1 species